rnacentral:tRNA from 1 species
CCCCAGGUGGCCUAAUGGUUAGCGCAUUGGACUCCGGAUAGAGCGGUCCGUGUUCGAGCCCUGGCUUGGGUCA